rnacentral:rRNA from 1 species
UCUUGACAUCCAGAGAACUUUCCAGAGAUGGAUUGGUGCCUUCGGGAACUCUGAGACAGGUGCUGCAUGGCUGUCGUCAGCUCGUGUUGUGAAAUGUUGGGUUAAGUCCGCAACGAGCGCAACCCCUAUCCUUUGUUGCCAGCGAUUCGGUCGGGAACUCAAAGGAGACUGCCGGUGAUAAACCGGAGGAAGGUGGGGAUGACGUCAAGUCAUCAUGGCCCUUACGAGUAGGGCUACACACGUGCUACAAUGGCGUAUACAAAGAGAAGCGACCUCGCGAGAGCAAGCGGACCUCAUAAAGUACGUCGUAGUCCGGAUUGGAGUCUGCAACUCGACUCCAUGAAGUCGGAAUCGCUAGUAAUCGUAGAUCAGAAUGCUACGGUGAAUACGUUCCCGGGCCUUGUACACACCGCCCGUCACACCAUGGGAGUGGGUUGCAAAAGAAGUAGAUAGCUUAACCUUCGGGAGGGCGUUUACCACUUUGUGAUUCAUGACUGGGGUGAAGUCGUAACAAGGUAAGCGUAGCGAG